rnacentral:tRNA from 1 species
UCUUAUGUAGCUCAAUGGUAAAGCAUUUGUCUAGCAAGUAGGAGCCCUGGGUUCAAUCCCCAGCACCAGGA